AUUGAACGCUGGCGGCAGUCCUAACACAUGCAAGUCGAGCGGAUGAAGGGAGCUUGCUCCUGGAUUCAGCGGCGGACGGGUGAGUAAUGCCUAGGAAUCUGCCUGGUAGUGGGGGAUAACGUCCGGAAACGGGCGCUAAUACCGCAUACGUCCUGAGGGAGCAAGUGGGGGAUCUUCGGACCUCACGCUAUCAGAUGAGCCUAGGUCGGAUUAGCUAGUUGGUGGGGUAAAGGCCUACCAAGGCGACGAUCCGUAACUGGUCUGAGAGGGUGAUCAGUCACACUGGAACUGAGACACGGUCCAGACUCCUAUGGGAGGCAGCAGUGGGGAAUAUUGGACAAUGGGCGAAAGCCUGAUCCAGCCAUGCCGCGUGUGUGAAGAAGGUCUUCGGAUUGUAAAGCACUUUAAGUUGGGAGGAAGGGCAGUAAGUUAAUACCUUGCUGUUUUGACGUUACCAACAGAAUAAGCACCGGCUAACUUCGUG
rnacentral:rRNA from 1 species